UGGACGGAGCCUGACCGCAAGCUGUGAUGGCCGCAUAGCGCGAAAGCUCCCGCCGACGGGCAUAAUCAUUUAGCCACAAACCCAGCCACAAUCGGUGCACGGACCCCCAGAGGCGCAGCACACAUACCGGAAUACCUACAGUCACAAGCGGACAUGGGGGGGAGGGGCGGAAAAAACACGAGCAGCCGCCAUCCGUGGCCCCUCUGUUCCGGCAACCACGAGGCCAGACGUCAUCUUCCCCACAACGGCGGGAAGACUCUGCAUCCGACCCCGACCACAGUGAGGCAGCAGGCUCAGCUUCCACACCGCUCACCAAGAGGGACCUGCAACUACUGCUGCAAGAAGCUGCAGCAGAUAUAAAGACACAUAUGGCGGCAGAAAUUGGAAAACAGCUGCAACUCCUGAAGGCUGGCCUGGCUGACCUGGGGGAGAGGACAGGGCAGGUGGAGCAGAGGGCAGAUGAUCUCCUUGAAAACCUCAAUAUGCACCAAGCUGAGCUCACUACACUGAGGAACAAAGUGGAAGAAUUAGAGACAGGUAUGGAAGACCUAAAUAAUGGCUCUAGGCGUAACAACAUAAGGAUUAGGGGCCUCCCCGAAACAGUCACGCCUGAUAUGCUGCUCUCCACGCUGCGUGAAUUGUUUCUUACAAUCCUUCCAGAGGCAACGCCACAAGACCUCGCCAUAGACCGGGCGCACAGAGCCCUCAAACCCCCUAGCCAAAACCAAAUAGCGCCCCGAGACGUAAU